rnacentral:lncRNA from 1 species
GCAUGGUCUAUAAUAGAAUGGGAAUGUCAAAUUCUGCUGUCAAAAAGUCGCUUUUGCUCCGAUUUCGUGCACUCCAUUUCUCAACGAAGGUAAACAGCAGCUGGCAAUAGACCUUCAAUUUGUUGCUGGAUUAGGCCAUAACCCCCAUUUUCAGGAGUAAUUAAAAAAAAAAAAAAAGCAAUUAGGGAAUGAGGAAAAUGCACACAAAUAUAUCCCUUCACGAAGAAAUGUUUCCUGGUAAGAACCAUCAAGAUGAAUUACAAUAGCUACGCUGGCUAUGAUAAGGAACCAAGGAUCACAAAACUCAAACCCAGUAAUACGAUUUCCAGGAGCCACAGCGCCAAAGGCUGCAUUACCCAUGCGUCCACUUAGUAGAUAAAAUAAUGUUCUGAUGGCAAUGGCAAUGAUCAAAGAAUUGGCUUUCUUCAUAGUUUUGUGCUCCGCUAGUAGAGAUUUUAUUGCAUCCUGAAGUUAAUCUUCAAUGGAAAUUAUUAGUCGGAUUCUGACGUUUUCCCAGAUAAUUCAUUUAGUCCAGAAUUACACCUUUCACCCUUCUGCACCCCAAACCCCGAAAAAGAAACAAAAUCAAAAUUUGAUUAACAUGAAAAUGCCAACAAUAACUACGUAAAUUAGCCUUGAAAACAUCCUUGUAACUGUAGUUUCGUUGUCCAGUAACAGGGUCUCCUAACCUGUAGCACUUAGAGUGCAUGUUUGAAGAGUAAAGCUUGACCAAAGCAAAGAGAACCACCGCACUGGGUCCUAUAACCCAUCAAGUUGCUACUAACAAUACCAAAGAAAGCAACUCCGGCUGGAUUACAACAGUGAUAAUAUGUGAUGUAGCAGUCCACGAAGUUUCUGUGUAAUAAAG